rnacentral:rRNA from 1 species
UACGAAGGGGGCUAGCGUUGUUCGGAUUUACUGGGCGUAAAGCGCACGUAGGCGGAUCUUUAAGUCAGAGGUGAGAUCCCAAGGCUCAACCUUGGAACUGCCUUUGAUACUGGGGAUCUUGAGUCCGGGAGAGGUGAGUGGAACUGCGAGUGUAGAGGUGAAAUUCGUAGAUAUUCGCAAGAACACCAGUGGCGAAGGCGGCUCACUGGCCCGGUACUGACGCUGAGGUGCGAAAGCGUGGGGAGCAAACAGG